GUUCUUUACCUUGGUCAUAUCAUCUCUGCCAAGGGCAUCGCUUUUAAUCCCGAGAAGGUGUCUGCAAUUGUGAAUUGGGAACCUCCUCAGAAUGUCAAGCAGCUUCGCAGUUUUCUUGGUCUUGCAAGCUAUUGCCGAAGAUUCGUUGAGAAUUUCUCUAAGAUUGCAAAGCCUCUUUCCAACCUCCUCCAGAAGCAUGUGAAGUAUGUCUGGACUCCUGAGUGUGACGUUGCUUUCAACACUCUAAAAGAGAAACUCGUCACAUCUCCUGUCUUAACUCCUCCUGACGAAUCCAAGCCAUUCGAAGUUUUCUGUGAUGCU
rnacentral:rRNA from 1 species